rnacentral:rRNA from 1 species
GCCCUUACUCUACGGGAGGCAGCAGUGGGGAAUAUUGGACAAUGGGCGCAAGCCUGAUCCAGCCAUGCCGCGUGUGUGAAGAAGGUCUUCGGAUUGUAAAGCACUUUCGACGGGGACGAUGAUGACGGUACCCGUAGAAGAAGCCCCGGCUAACUUCGUGCCAGCAGCCGCGGUAAUACGAAGGGGGCUAGCGUUGCUCGGAAUGACUGGGCGUAAAGGGCGCGUAGGCGGAUGGUACAGUCAGAUGUGAAAUUCCUGGGCUCAACCUGGGGGCUGCAUYUGAUACGUGCUGUCUUGAGUUCGGAAGAGGGUCGUGGAAUUCCCAGUGUAGAGGUGAAAUUCGUAGAUAUUGGGAAGAACACCGGUGGCGAAGGCGGCGACCUGGUCCGAUACUGACGCUGAGGCGCGAAAGCGUGGGGAGCAAACAGGAUUAGAUACCCUGGUAGUCCACGCUGUAAACGAUGUGCGCUGGAUGUUGGGUGGCCUAGCCACUCAGUGUCGUAGCUAACGCGAUAAGCGCACCGCCUGGGGAGUACGGCCGCAAGGUUGAAACUCAAAUGAAUUGACGG